rnacentral:rRNA from 1 species
UCGGGAAUUUUGGGCAAUGGGGGAAACCCUGACCCAGCAACGCCGCGUGAGGGAUGAAGGCCUUCGGGUCGUAAACCUCUGUCGGGAGGGAAGAACGCCGCAGGGAGUCACUGCUCUGCGGUCUGACGGUACCUCCAAAGGAAGCACCGGCUAACUCCGUGCCAGCAGCCGCGGUAAUACGGAGGGUGCGAGCGUUGUUCGGAAUCAUUGGGCGUAAAGCGCGUGUAGGCGGCUUGGUAAGUCGGGUGUGAAAGCCCGGGGCUCAACCCCGGAAUUGCACUCGAUACUGCCUCGCUAGAGUCCCGGAGAGGAGAGCGGAAUUCCCGGUGUAGAGGUGAAAUUCGUAGAUAUCGGGAGGAACACCAGCGGCGAAGGCGGCUCUCUGGACGGUGACUGACGCUGAGACGCGAAAGCGUGGGGAGCAAACAGGAUUAGAUACCCCCGUAGUCC